rnacentral:rRNA from 1 species
GAUGAACGCUGGCGGCGUGCUUAACACAUGCAAGUCGAACGAUGAAGCCCAGCUUGCUGGGUGGAUUAGUGGCGAACGGGUGAGUAACACGUGAGUAACUUGCCCUUAACUCUGGGAUAAGCCUGGGAAACUGGGUCUAAUACCGGAUAGGAGCGCCUACCGCAUGGUGGGUGUUGGAAAGAUUUAUCGGUUUUGGAUGGACUCGCGGCCUAUCAGCUUGUUGGUGAGGUAAUGGCUCACCAAGGCGACGACGGGUAGCCGGCCUGAGAGGGUGACCGGCCACACUGGGACUGAGACACGGCCCAGACUCCUACGGGAGGCAGCAGUGGGGAAUAUUGCACAAUGGGCGAAAGCCUGAUGCAGCGACGCCGCGUGAGGGAUGACGGCCUUCGGGUUGUAAACCUCUUUCAGUAGGGAAGAAGCGAAAGUGACGGUACCUGCAGUAGAAGCACCGGCUAACUACGUG